AUUGAACGCUGGCGGCAGGCCUAACACAUGCAAGUCGAACGGUAACAGGAAACGGCUUGCUGUUUCGCUGACGAGUGGCGGACGGGUGAGUAAUGUCUGGGAAACUGCCUGAUGGAGGGGGAUAACUACUGGAAACGGUAGCUAAUACCGCAUAACGUCGCAAGACCAAAGAGGGGGACCUUCGGGCCUCUUGCCAUCGGAUGUGCCCAGAUGGGAUUAGCUAGUAGGUGGGGUAACGGCUCACCUAGGCGACGAUCCCUAGCUGGUCUGAGAGGAUGACCAGCCACACUGGAACUGAGACACGGUCCAGACUCCUACGGGAGGCAGCAGUGGGGAAUAUUGCACAAUGGGCGCAAGCCUGAUGCAGCCAUGCCGCGUGUAUGAAGAAGGCCUUCGGGUUGUAAAGUACUUUCAGCGGGGAGGAAGGGAGUAAAGUUAAUACCUUUACUCAUUGACGUUACCCGCAGAAGAAGCACCGGCUAACUCCGUG
rnacentral:rRNA from 1 species